rnacentral:rRNA from 1 species
GACGAACGCGGGCGGCGUGCUUAACACAUGCAAGUCGAACGAAGCUUGAUUACGGAUUCUUCGGAUGAAGUAUGAUAUGACUGAGUGGCGGACGGGUGAGUAACGCGUGAGUAACCUGCCCUUCAGAGGGGGAUAGCGUUUGGAAACGAACGGUAAUACCGCAUAAUGUAUUUUGACCGCAUGAUCGAAAUACCAAAGAUUUAUCGCUGAAGGAUGGACUCGCCUCUGAUUAGGUAGUUGGUGGGGUAACGGCCUACCAAGCCGACGAUCAGUAGCCGGACUGAGAGGUUGAUCGGCCACAUUGGGACUGAGACACGGCCCAGACUCCUACGGGAGGCAGCAGUGGGGAAUAUUGCACAAUGGGCGCAAGCCUGAUGCAGCAACGCCGCGUGAAGGAAGACGGUUUUCGGAUUGUAAACUUCUGUUCUUAGUGAAGAAUAAUGACGGUAGCUAAGGAGCAAGCCACGGCUAACUACGUG